GGCCCGUUGGCGCAACUGGAUAGCGCGGCGGAUUUCUACCCUGCAGGAUCGUGGUUCGAAUCCACGACGGGCCACCA
rnacentral:tRNA from 1 species